GAUGAACGCUGGCGGCGUGCCUAAUACAUGCAAGUCGAGCGAAUGGAUUAAGAGCUUGCUCUUAUGAAGUUAGCGGCGGACGGGUGAGUAACACGUGGGUAACCUGCCCAUAAGACUGGGAUAACUCCGGGAAACCGGGGCUAAUACCGGAUAACAUUUUGAACCGCAUGGUUCGAAGUUGAAAGGCGGCUUCGGCUGUCACUUAUGGAUGGACCCGCGUCGCAUUAGCUAGUUGGUGAGGUAACGGCUCACCAAGGCAACGAUGCGUAGCCGACCUGAGAGGGUGAUCGGCCACACUGGGACUGAGACACGGCCCAGACUCCUACGGGAGGCGGCAGUAGGGAAUCUUCCGCAAUGGACGAAAGUCUGACGGAGCAACGCCGCGUGAGUGAUGAAGGCUUUCGGGUCGUAAAACUCUGUUGUUAGGGAAGAACAAGUGCUAGUUGAAUAAGCUGGCACCUUGACGGUACCUAACCAGAAAGCCACGGCUAACUACGUGCCAGCAGCCGCGGUAA
rnacentral:rRNA from 1 species